UUCGAGUGGCGGACGGGUGAGUAACGCGUGGGUAACCUGCCUUACACAGGGGAUAACACCUGGAAACAGGUGCUAAUACCGCAUAAGCGCACAGGGCCGCAUGGCCCGGUGUGAAAAACUCCGGUGGUGUAAGAUGGACCCGCGUCUGAUUAGCUUGUUGGCGGGGUAGGGGCCCACCAAGGCGACGAUCAGUAGCCGGCCUGAGAGGGUGGACGGCCACAUUGGGACUGAGACACGGCCCAAACUCCUACGGAAGGCAGCAG
rnacentral:rRNA from 1 species